rnacentral:rRNA from 1 species
UACGGAGGGUGCAAGCGUUAAUCGGAAUUACUGGGCGUAAAGCGCGUGUAGGCGGCUCGGAUAGUUGGAUGUGAAAGCUCCUGGCUUAACUGGGAGAGGUCGUUCAAUACUUCCGGGCUCGAGAGUGGUAGAGGGAGGUGGAAUUCCGAGUGUAGUGGUGAAAUGCGUAGAUAUUCGGAGGAACACCAGUGGCGAAAGCGGCCUCCUGGACCAUUUCUGACGCUCAGACGCGAAAGCUAGGGUAGCAAACGGGAUUAGAGACCCCGGUAGUCCUAGCUGUAAACGAGGUAGACUUGGCGUCGGCGGGUUCAAAUCCGUCGGUGCCGCAGCUAACGCGAUAAGUCUACCGCCUGGGGACUACGGCCGCAAGGUUAAA